rnacentral:tRNA from 1 species
GAUCCCGUGGUCCAGCGGCAACGACGGCUGGUUCACAUCCAGCGAACGAUGGUUCGAGUCCAUCCGGGAUCA